rnacentral:rRNA from 1 species
UGGGGAAUUUUGGACAAUGGGCGCAAGCCUGAUCCAGCAAUGCCGCGUGUGUGAAGAAGGCCUUCGGGUUGUAAAGCACUUUUGGCGGGAGCGAAACGGCGUUUGCUAAUACCAGACGCUAAUGACGGUACCCGCAGAAUAAGCACCGGCUAACUACGUGCCAGCAGCCGCGGUAAGACGUAGGGUGCGAGCGUUAAUCGGAAUUACUGGGCGUAAAGCGUGCGCAGGCGGCUUUGUAAGACAGGUGUGAAAUCCCCGGGCUUAACCUGGGAACUGCACUUGUGACUGCAAGGCUAGAGUGUGUCAGAGGGAGGUGGAAUUCCGCGUGUAGCAGUGAAAUGCGUAGAUAUGCGGAGGAACACCGAUGGCGAAGGCAGCCUCCUGGGAUAACACUGACGCUCAUGCACGAAAGCGUGGGGAGCAAACA